UAUUAAUAUUCUAUUCAGUUCAAUUAGUUAUACAAAUGGACUAUCGACGAAUUUUUGUCCUGACUGCACAAAAUGGAUUGAACCAAAGUGUCUAACAGAUAGAAAUGGCAUGUCUGUACCCUCAAAUGCAGAUCUUCCUAAGCUUCAAAAACUUGCGGUGGGCGAAGUUAUUGAUCCAAGCAUAGAGAAAUGCGUUGAUGAUACCUACAAAUUAACUGGUAAUUUAGAGAGAUACAUUUGUUUCAUUUCGGUGAAGCGUGGCUGUUUAGUAGUCGCUAAUAAGGAUUCAUUUGAUAUUCCCAAUGCACAGAGUUAUGUCUGUAGGACAUGUGGCUUGUAUUGCGGAUGCGAGACAAUUACCAGUGGAUCAGUGAAUUCGAAAUAUAUAUUAAACAAAUAUUCUCAA